rnacentral:rRNA from 1 species
AGUGAACGCUGGCGGUAGGCCUAACACAUGCAAGUCGAACGGCAGCACAGUAAGAGCUUGCUCUUACGGGUGGCGAGUGGCGGACGGGUGAGGAAUACAUCGGAAUUUACUUUUUCGUGGGGGAUAACGUAGGGAAACUUACGCUAAUACCGCAUACGACCUACGGGUGAAAGCAGGGGAUCUUCGGACCUUGCGCGAUUGAAUGAGCCGAUGUCGGAUUAGCUAGUUGGCGGGGUAAAGACCCACCAAGGCGACGAUCCGUAGCUGGUCUGAGAGGAUGGUCGGCCACACGGGAACGGAGACACGGUCCAGACUCCUACGGGAGGCAGCAGUGGGGAAUAUUGGACAAAGGGCGCAAGCCUGAUCCAGCCAUACCGCGUGGGUGAAGAAGGCCUUCGGGUUGUAAAGCCCUUUUGUUGGGAAAGAAAAGCAGCAGGUUAAUACCCCGCUGUUCUGACGGUACCCAAAGAAUAAGCACCGGCUAACUUCGUG